rnacentral:rRNA from 1 species
CCUACGGGAGGCAGCAGUGGGGAAUAUUGCACAAUGGGGGAAACCCUGAUGCAGCGACGCCGCGUGAGCGAAGAAGUAUUUCGGUAUGUAAAGCUCUAUCAGCAGGGAAGAAGAUGACGGUACCUGACUAAGAAGCUCCGGCUAAAUACGUGCCAGCAGCCGCGGUAAUACGUAUGGAGCAAGCGUUAUCCGGAUUUACUGGGUGUAAAGGGAGCGCAGGCGGCGCGGCAAGUCUGGUGUGAAAGGCGGGGGCUCAACCCCCGGACUGCAUUGGAAACUGUCGCGCUGGAGUGUCGGAGGGGCAG